AUGAAGCUGUUGUACUCUGCUUUCUCAAUUCAAUAUGCUGCAAUAAGAUCAUCAGAUGUCUCCAAAUUAUCCAAUGACUUGCCUCCCAAUCUGCUUUUUCUUCGCGGUACCACUCAAGGCUCCAAUGUUAUCAACAUGUCAGUGACCAGCACAAAGAAAAAAAUUGCUUCUAGCAGUUCAAGUCAAAGUCCUAGAUUUGAGUAUGGCAGACUGAUUGCAUCACAGACCCAUCUCUAAACCAAACACUGGGCACAGGGAAGAAGGAAUAUGUAGAAUUCUCAAGUUAGUCAUAAACCCAUGCAGAAGUAGCCCCUAAACCAGAGUGAUUUGGUAAUUUUACUGAUCUUAUCUGGAUUAUUUUUAAUUUCCUCCUUUCUCUCAUCCUCAACAACACAUUGAGGUCACAAUCGUUUCUUCUGUCUCUUCAGUCAAUUCCUUCUCUUCUAAUGACACUAAUACUGCCUUAAUUCAAAUUGUCAUUAAGGUUUUGUCUGAAACAAUAGCUAGAGACAUAGCUAGAGAGAUCUCAUUGUCUCCAGUCUUCUCUCUAAACUAUUCUUUAUAUUGUUGCCACUGUGGUAGACUUUAAACCCAUUUUUCAUUGUCUACUGCCCUAUACCAAUGAGUCCAUCCAUCCCUUUAAGAUCUAUCCUUUAUUUUUUCAUGUCAAAUUCUGCCUUCUUUAAGAUCAACAUUGUUCUCUUCUAUUAUCACAUAUUUUUCUCUACUUUCAUUAUAUAGCCUGUCUUUAUAUUAGGUUUUAGAUGCCUAUAUCUUCUACUAGACUGAGUAUCUAGAGAAUAUGAACCAUGUUAUUCAUCUUUAUAUUGACAAUAGUACUGAACAUGACAUGUUGCUCCAGGCAAGUUUUCAAUAAACGUUAGCCAAAUUUAACCACCAAAGUGCUGAAUUAUCCAAUAUAAACCAAAUGUGUUUUAAGAAUGUAAUCUUGGCCAAAGUAUGCAAGGAAAGGCAAAUAUAUCACUACGUAAGAUUUUAUAACCCUAUUACCUAGGAGGUACAGGUAGGUCUCAGUGUCUAGUCAGUAUCAGGAGACAGUUCUCCAUAGGUCUCCUGCAUUUCUUUAAAUCUUGCAAAUUAGACACUGAAUGCUUCUAUUCUGAUCUAUCUUUUCAAUAAUGCUUUCCUUGAAAACAUAUAUCUUUGGAAGACAGAGAUACUGCCUCCCUCCGGAGUAAAACCUAAGCUUGUUUAUGGUGUAGUACAAAACAUUCAGGUUUCCUCAGCUUAGAGAUUCUCCCUUGCACUGCAUGUGUGGGUGUCAUCAGACUUGACCCUCUUCAUAGCAUUUUGUGAGAACUACAAAAUGCAACCAAUGUGAGGAAAUACUGAUGCUCUGGAUACUGCUAUUGCUGAGAGAAAUAAAGCCUUUGCCU
rnacentral:lncRNA from 1 species